rnacentral:piRNA from 5 species
UGAUCACGAAGGUGGUUUUCCCAGGGC